AACGCUAGCUACAGGCUUAACACAUGCAAGUCGAGGGGCAGCGCAGUGUAGCAAUACAUGGGCGGCGACCGGCGCACGGGUGCGUAACGCGUAUCCAACCUUCCCGUUACUCAGGGAUAGCCUUCCGAAAGGGAGAUUAAUACCUGAUGGUGUUGAAAUUCCGCAUGUUAUUUCAACUAAAGAUUUAUCGGUAACGGAUGGGGAUGCGUGACAUUAGAUAGUAGGCGGGGUAACGGCCCACCUAGUCUACGAUGUCUAGGGGUUCUGAGAGGAAGGUCCCCCACACUGGAACUGAGACACGGUCCAGACUCCUACGGGAGGCAGCAGUGAGGAAUAUUGGUCAAUGGUCGGAAGACUGAACCAGCCAAGUAGCGUGAAGGAUGAAGGUUCUAUGGAUUGUAAACUUCUUUUAUACGGGAAUAAAACCUCCCACGUGUGGGAGCUUGUAUGUACCGUAUGAAUAAGCAUCGGCUAACUCCGUGCCAGCAGCCGCGGUAAUACGGAGGAUGCGAGCGUUAUCCGGAUUUAUUGGGUUUAAAGGGAGCGUAGACGGGAGAUUAAGUCAGUUGUGAAAGGCUGCGGCUCAACCGCAGCACUGCAGUUGAUACUGGUUUCCUUGAGUGCGGUUGAGGUGUAUGGAAUUCGUGGUGUAGCGGUGAAAUGCUUAGAUAUCACGAAGAACUCCGAUUG
rnacentral:rRNA from 2 species